UACGUAGGGCGCAAGCGUUGUCCGGAAUUAUUGGGCGUAAAGAGCGUGUAGGCGGUUUGGUAGGUCCGCUGUGAAACUCGAGGCUCAACCUCGAGACGCCGGUGGAAACCAUCAGGCUAGAGUCCGGAAGAGGAGAGUGGAAUUCCGUGGUGUAGCGGUGAAAUGCGCAGAGUAUCAGGAAGAACACCCGUGGCUAAGGCGGCUCUCUAGUACGGUACUGACGCUGAGACGCGAAAGCGUGGGGAGCGAACAGG
rnacentral:rRNA from 1 species